rnacentral:rRNA from 1 species
GACGAACGCUUUGCGGCGUGCCUAAGAAAUGCAAGUCGAACGGGGGACUUCGGUCCUAGUGGCGAACGGUCGCGUAACACGUAAGCAACCUGCCCUGAAGUGGGGGACAACAUCCCGAAAGGGGUGCUAAUACCGCAUGUGGUCACGAGUCGGCAUCGGCUUGUGUCUAAAGAUUUAUCGCUUCAGGAUGGGCUUGCGGCCUAUCAGGUAGUUGGUGGGGUAAUGGCCUACCAAGCCGACGACGGGUAGCUGGUCUGAGAGGACGAUCAGCCGGAUUGGGACUGAGAUACGGCCCAGACUCCUACGGGGGGCAGCAAUUAGGAAUCUUGCGCAAUGGGGGAAACCCUGACGCAGCGACGUCGCGUGAAGGAUGAAGGCCCUCGGGUCGUAAACUUCUUUUGAGUGGGAAGAAAUUUGACGGUACCACUCGAAUAAGCCCCGGCUAACUACGUG